UGGGGGAUAUUGCACAAUGGGCGAAAGCCUGAUGCAGCGACGCCGCGUGGGGGAUGAAGGCUUUCGGGUUGUAAACCUCUUUCGCUAUCGAACAAGGCCCGCUUAGGGUGGUUGAGGGUAGGUGGAGAAGAAGCGCCGGCUAACUACGUGCCAGCAGCCGCGGUAAUACGUAGGGCGCGAGCGUUGUCCGGAAUUAUUGGGCGUAAAGGGCUUGUAGGCGGCUUGUUGCGCCUGCUGUGAAAACGCGGGGCUUAACUUCGCGCGUGCAGUGGGUACGGGCAGGCUUGAGUGUGGUAGGGGUGACUGGAAUUCCAGGUGUAGCGGUGGAAUGCGCAGAUAUCUGGAGGAACACCGAUGGCGAAGGCAGGUCACUGGGCCAUUACUGACGCUGAGGAGCGAAAGCAUGGGUAGCGAACAGG
rnacentral:rRNA from 1 species